rnacentral:rRNA from 1 species
CCUACGGGUGGCUGCAGUGGGGAAUAUUGGACAAUGGGGGGAACCCUGAUCCAGCCAUGCCGCGUGUGUGAAGAAGGCCCUCGGGUUGUAAAGCACUUUCAGUGAGGAAGAACGCCUGGUGGUUAAUACCCAUCAGGAAAGACAUCACUCACAGAAGAAGCACCGGCUAACUCCGUGCCAGCAGCCGCGGUAAUACGGAGGGUGCGAGCGUUAAUCGGAAUUACUGGGCGUAAAGCGCGCGUAGGUGGCUUGAUAAGCCGGUUGUGAAAGCCCCGGGCUCAACCUGGGAACGGCAUCCGGAACUGUCAAGAUAGGGUGCAGGAGAGGAAGGUAGAAUUCCCGGUGUAGCGGUGAAAUGCGUAGAGAUCGGGAGGAAUACCAGUGGCGAAGGCGGCCUUCUGGACUGACACUGACACUGAGGUGCGAAAGCGUGGGUAGCAAACAGGAUUAGAACCCCUGUAGUC